rnacentral:rRNA from 1 species
ACGGGUGAGUAAUGUCUGGGGAUCUGCCCGAUAGAGGGGGAUAGCCACUGGAAACGGUGGCUAAUACCGCAUAACGUCGCAAGACCAAAGAGGGGGACCUUCGGGCCUCUCACUAUCGGAUGAACCCAGAUGGGAUUAGCUAGUAGGCGGGGUAACGGCCCACCUAGGCGACGAUCCCUAGCUGGUCUGAGAGGAUGACCAGCCACACUGGAACUGAGACACGGUCCAGACUCCUACGGGAGGCAGCAGUGGGGAAUAUUGCACAAUGGGCGCAAGCCUGAUGCAGCCAUGCCGCGUGUAUGAAGAAGGCCUUCGGGUUGUAAAGUACUUUCAGCGGGGAGGAAGGCGAUGUGGUUAAUAACCGCAUUGAUUGACGUUACCCGCAGAAGAAGCACCGGCUAACUCCGUGCCAGCAGCCGCGGUAAUACGGAGGGUGCAAGCGUUAAUCGGAAUUACUGGGCGUAAAGCGCACGCAGGCGGUCUGUUAAGUCAGAUGUGAAAUCCCCGGGCUUAACCUGGGAACUGCAUUUGAAACUGGCAGGCUUGAGUCUCGUAGAGGGGGGUAGAAUUCCAGGU